rnacentral:rRNA from 1 species
AUGUUUUGCAGAGAGUUUGCCAUAAUGCAAAGCCCGAGCAAACUGCGUGUCGCCUCUGUGUCCACACAACCUGCUCCGUUCAUGCUCCGUUGUUGGGCAGACCUCCCAGAUGACCCGCUUCACACCAUUCUUGCUUUGUCACGAUCCUUCCGUGACAUUCUUGCCUUUGCUGCAACAUGCCGCUCUUGGCGUGCUGCAUUCUGCUUAUACCCAUCCAAAUAUACCUUCUGCUCCAAAUUCCCACCUCUCCUCGUCCAACUGAAUGCCAGUGUUCAAGCUGCCGACCUCUCUUCUAACAAUGGUCGUCAAGACCUGCACACAUUCAAAGUCAUUGAUCCGACCAACAAGAACGUCCCCCUUCGCUGCCAGAUUCCUCGAGAAAUUUAUCAGGAGAUGCAUUUUGCUGGCACUUCCUAUGGUCAACUAAUUUUUUGUCGUGGUGGACAUUGUCUUGUUGUUGAUGUAUUCAGCGGUGCAAAGGUUUCACCUCCACGUCUCCCAUUCAACGGCGAAUUUGAGAGGAAGAUCUACUUCAGUGGCACCCUGACAGCUCCCCUCGCAUCAUCCAACUCACACCUCCUUGUCAGCACUACAACAUCUUUGUUUGACUGGCCGGUCAGAAGUGACUUUUGGUCUGAACUCCAACUUUCUCAUGCAUGGAUAGAACAGAUUGUGGAAUUCAAUGGUCAGUUCAUCGCAAUGGACGAUUGCUAUGAGAUAUACACUUUGCAGCUGUCGCCCCAACUUGGUCUGCAGAAGAUAACAGCUGAGUUUGUCGGCGACCUGAUCCCAAGCUCGUAUGAGAAACCUUGGCUGGUGGUCUGUGGUGACAUGCUUAUGAUGGUUUUCUGUUUUAGCACAUAUGUUUCAGGCCGGACAGUAUUUGUAAUACACCACCUUGACAUGUCAACCAAACCUGCAAAAUGGGUGGAGGUAAAGCAGCUGGACAAUUGGUCACUAUUUGUUGGGGGUGAUGUGAGGAGCCGGCCAUUUUCUUGCUUGAGCCCAGAACGUUGGGGAGGAAGAAGCAAGUCGCUGUACUAUGCGGGCCUUCGCUCUUUGAUUGUGCAUGGGGUGGGCAAUGAGGAAGAUCCAACUGCCAGUCCUAUGAUGGAAUACAAUAGAAGCUGGUGCCCCAAUCUGCAACCCCUCUGGGUGUAUCCGAGCAUGUUCUACUCAGAUGGACGGUGA